AUGGGUCAUGCAUGUGUAGAGGUGCUCAGAAAAACUUUAGAAAUAUGCACAGAUUUUGAGUGUGAGAAAUGUGAAAAUUUAUUAGACUGUGCAGUUUGUUCAGAGAUGGGAAUUGAAUCAAAAGAGCACCCUAAAAGAUCUGGAAUUAAGACCCAGGAAAUGUUUGAAAUGGUCCAUCUAUAUGUAACAGAAUCUGAUGUAAAAAGCCAGGGAGGUUCUCAAUUUACUUUGCUUUUAGUAGAUAGAAACACGAGAUUUGGUUAUAUUUACUUCCUUAAGGAUUUGAAGGAAGCUGUUGUAAAGGUGUCUACUUGGAUAAACAUGGUUCAAAGGGUCUAUGAACAGCAAGUAGGUCAAAUAGUUUUUGACAAAGGAAUUAAUGUGUGUAAUGAAAAGUGAUGUUCUGAAUAUGUCCCAAUGCCCAUUUACACCUGGGGCCCAUUUAUGCUAUACAAUUAUGAAGCUUUUAUUUCAUCCUAUGGGAUCCUGGUUUAAGGAAACACUGGAGUGCUGUAGCUGAAAAUUCAAAAUGCUUUUCACUGAGCUGUCAAUCUAAUCCUAGGACAAUAAAGAAUAAAACCAUGGCAAUUAAACUAUGUGUACCAAAGCCGCUUUUCAUAGAAUACAUGCACUAAGUCUGCUUCAUGCUUUCCUUCUCCUACCACCUGAAAAGUCAAUUAUUGCCAACUCAUUUCGAAACAGUGUAGAAAUUUAUUAAAGUAUUAAUCUGCCAUCAGGGGAGAAAAGACCUUGGCACUUUUAUCCUUCUUCCGCACUCUUGUGAUGGCAUCCUUGGCUUUUAUUACUGUCUGCAAAGUCACAUUUAUCACCAUCUGGAGAAGUAUUAGUUAAAAGGAAAGAAAGGGGAGAUCUGCAGAUGAUGUAAGCUCUCGAUAGCAGAUGUUAAACAUCCCAAAAUUAUGUACAUUAAACAGUAGGCUUUCCUCUAAAGAAUAAAUAUAACCAUAAUAAUUAUAUUGUCACUAUGUCCUGCAAGUCAAUGACAGUAGAUGCUAUUGGGAGGAGGCGGGGAGAUUUAAUGGGCCAGUACAAGUGCAAACAUCAUGCCUGGGCUUGGUACCCCAUUAUUUUCUAGCAACCAUCUGCAGCAUCCAAUGCCACUCGUUCACUGCCUACUAGAGUUAGAUAAUUUCCACCCAUGGUUGAUGUUAGGAUUAAACUACAUUGAUGCAAGGAGAUAACAAACAAAAAACUCUCUUUCAUGCCAUUUGAGGCUGUAAUUAUAUGCACACUUUCUUAAGUCCAUUAAAUUCAAUAGAAUCUACUAGUAAAUAGACAUGUAAAUGUUCUAUAAGGAAGCCACAGUGAAUACAUUGCAGUAAACACAGCAUUUUAGGGGGGGAAAUCUUAAGUUACUGCUUCUCCUACAGCUUAAAGAAAAUGACUUUGUUGUGCUAAUGGAGAAGGACAUUUCACUACCUUUCUUUUACUGCCUUGUCCACAGUUUGCUCAUGGACAAGAAGGAAUGUGGCCUCUGUUUGCCCCAAACACUCCCCAAGAUUGCUUUACACACUAUCUUAAACUACAAUCUCAAAUAAGAAGCAGAUCUACAACCUCAACAUUAUUAUUAUUUUUACCAUAGUUUUGUUGUUAAAGGCCGUAAUAUUGAUUUUGGUUCAUAACUCCCCCUAUCAUUAAUCACCCUUCUCAGUUCUUGCAAACUCAGAGGUGUGACUUCCUUGACUGAGUUCAUGCAUUUGGAAUGUGUUCUUCCUCUUUUCUUACUGCCCUCCACUUUGCCAAGCAUUAUAGCCUUUUUUUUUAAUGAAUCCUGCCUUCUAAUGAUUUUGCCAAUGUACAACAGUCUCCGUUUAGUCAUCUUGGCUUCUAGGGAAAAUAGUUCAGACAUGAUUUAAUUUGUCUUUUUAGCAGUUCAUUGUAUCCAUAUAACUCUUCUCCAGUACCACAUUUCAAAGGAGUUGAUUUUCGUCCUUUCACAACCACACAUAGGAAUAUUAUGCCAUGAACAACUCCAAUGUCAGUAUUCAAUUACAUAUAUUUUGCCAAUAGUAUGUUGUCAUCUGCAUAUUAAAAAUUGUUGAUGUUCUCAUAGAGCUUCUGCUAUACCCCAGUAGCUUCUCAAGUGCCUUCUAUCCUGCAAAUGUCCUCUUUUAUCUCUUGUUUAAUUUUGGAUUGUCUUGUGAUAGAUUGCCUCCUAUCAUGGUAAAAUACAUUCAAAGAGGUUUUACUGUGCAGUACUAACAAAGCAUUAGCUGUCUUCUGGCAGACCUAUCCAGUCAGUUUUUAACUAUGAAUUUUAAUGUCACAUUCUAUGUUUACUGUGUUUUAAUUUUUGUUCCAUGUAUUUUUAUAUGUGUAGAAAUGUGUUUUAAUAGGUGCUUUUA
ensembl:lncRNA